ACGGUUUAGACGGGUUUCGGGUGAAACGGGUGUCGGAUUUUCGGGUGGGUUUAGACGGGUUUUAACAAAAAAAAUCAGUAUUUUUUUUGUGAAAUUGCCGUCAUCUUUAGUUUCAAAGAUCAACAAUCCGGUUCUUAAAAAAAAUAUCAAACAAUCCAAAAAAAAGAAAGAGUGAAUAUAAUCAAUAGAUCUAUAAGAAACAUCAUCAACAAUCAUCUAGAUCUAGAUCUCUUCAUCAACAGUUGUCUAGAUCUCUUCAUGAAUCACUUUUUCUCAACUUGCCGAAAUCAUUGUCAAGAGAUCUAUUUUCAUGCUUGUCUUCCUUGUUUCACUAUGCCACAACGAGUUUAAUCCACAACGAGUUUAAUUCACAGAUGAUUAACAAUACUGUAAACAUGCAUGGGUUGUGACGAAAUUAAAAGAAACAUAAACUUUGAACUAUUGUAGUUGUUGAGUAAAAGAAAUUAGAAAGGUUAAUUUUAUGAUCUGAUCCAAAAAUAUUAAAUUAGGAAGAGAGGAUUGGAAAAGAAAAUAAUUG
rnacentral:lncRNA from 1 species